rnacentral:tRNA from 1 species
GCAGUAGUAGUUCAGUGUAAGAACGUCGGUCUUGUAAGCCGAAUGUCGGAGGUUAAAAUCCCCCCUGAUGCU